UACGUAGGGGGCGAGCGUUGUCCGGAAUCAUUGGGCGUAAAGAGCGUGUAGGCGGCCCGAUAAGUCCGGUGUGAAAUCUUGAGGCUCAACCUCAAGCUGUCAUCGGAUACUGUCGGGCUAGAGUCCGGAAGAGGAGAGUGGAAUUCCUGGUGUAGCGGUGGAAUGCGCAGAUAUCAGGAGGAACACCAAUAGCGAAGGCAGCUCGCUGGGACGGUACUGACGCUAAGGCGCGAAAGCGUGGGGAGCGAACAGG
rnacentral:rRNA from 1 species